GAUGAAGAACGUAGUGAAAUGCGAUAAGUAGUGUGAAUUGCAGAAUUCAGUGAAUCAUCGAAUCUUUGAACGCACAUUGCGCCCUUUGGUAUUCCAAAGGGCAUCCCUGUUCGAGCGUCAUUUGUACCCUCAAGCUUUGCUUGGUGUUGGGCGUCUUGUCUCUAGCUUUGCUGGAGACUCGCCUUAAAGUAAUUGGCAGCCGGCCUACUGGUUUCGGAGCGCAGCACAAGUCGCACUCUCUAUCAGCAAAGGUCUAGCAUCCAUUAAGCCUUUUUUUCAACUUUUGACCUCGGAUCAGGUAGGGAUACCCGCUGAACUUAAGCAUAUCAAUAAGCGGAGGA
rnacentral:misc_RNA from 1 species